UACGUAGGGGGCGAGCGUUGUCCGGAUUUACUGGGCGUAAAGCGCGUGUAGGCGGCCGUUUAAGUUGGGUGUGAAAGCCCGGGGCUCAACCCCGGGACGCCGCCCAAGACUGGACGGCUUGAGGACGGAAGAGGGGAGUGGAAUUCCAGGUGUAGCGGUGAAAUGCGUAGAGAUCUGGAGGAACACCCGUGGCGAAGGCGGCUCCCUGGUCCGUCCCUGACGCUGAGACGCGAAAGCGCGGGGAGCGAACGGG
rnacentral:rRNA from 1 species